rnacentral:rRNA from 1 species
GUGCCAGCAGCCGCGGUAAUACAGAGGUCCCGAGCGUUGUUCGGAUUCACUGGGCGUAAAGGGUGCGUAGGUGGUAGGGUAAGUCGGAUGUGAAAUCUCGGAGCUCAACUCCGAAACUGCAUUGGAAACUACCCAACUUGAGGGUCGGAGGGGGGACUGGAAUUCUCGGUGUAGCAGUGAAAUGCGUAGAUAUCGAGAGGAACACCAGUGGCGAAGGCGAGUCCCUGGACGACUCCUGACACUGAGGCACGAAAGCUAGGGGAGCAAACAGGAUUAGAUACCCUGGUAGUCC